rnacentral:rRNA from 2 species
GAUCAAGUGUCUUAAGGGCAAUUGGUGGAUGCCUUGGCAUGCACAGGCGAUGAAGGACGUGAUACGCUGCGAUAAGCUACGGGGAGGUGCGAAUACCCUUUGAUCCGUAGAUUUCCGAAUGGGGAAACCCACCUAAGGUACUUGGAAAAUCAGAGCAGCCGGAGGUCGCAAGGCCGACUUGCUGCUGUGGUUUCCAAGUAUCGAUAAUAGGUAACUUACCCUGAAUACAUAGGGGUAAAGUGGCGAACGCGGGGAACUGAAACAUCUAAGUACCCGUAGGAAAGGACAUCAACCGAGACUCCGGAAGUAGUGGCGAGCGAACCCGGACCAGGCCAGUGGCGAUUGAGAGACAAGCGGAACCUUCUGGAAAGUAGGGCCAUAGUGGGUGACAGCCCCGUACGCGUAAUGCAAUCAAUCGUCCUCGAGUAAGGCGGGACACGUGAAAUCCUGUCUGAAAUUGGGGGGACCACCCUCCAAGCCUAAGUACUCGUGCAUGACCGAUAGCGAACUAGUACCGUGAGGGAAAGGUGAAAAGCACCCCGACAAGGGGAGUGAAAGAGUACCUGAAACCGAUUGCCUACAAACAGUGGAAGCCCAAGGUUCGUCCUGGGUGACCACGUACCUUUUGUAUAAUGGGUCAGCGACUUAGUGUGACGAGCAAGCUUAAACCGCUAGGUGUAGGCGCAGCGAAAGCGAGUCUGAAUAGGGCGUUCAGUUCGUCGCAUUAGACCCGAAACCGAGUGAUCUAGCCAUGAGCAGGUUGAAGGUAAGGUAACACUUACUGGAGGACCGAACCCAUAACUGUUGCAAUAGUUCGGGAUGACUUGUGGCUAGGGGUGAAAGGCCAAUCAAACUCGGAAAUAGCUGGUUCUCCGCGAAAUCUAUUUAGGUAGAGCGUCGACCGAAUACCCCAGGGGGUAGAGCACUGGAUGGGCUAGGGGUCCUCACCGGAUUACCAAACCUAACCAAACUCCGAAUACCUGGGAGUACUAGUCGGCAGACACACGGCGGGUGCUAACGUCCGUCGUGAAAAGGGAAACAACCCUGACCUACAGCUAAGGUCCCCAAGUUAUGGCUAAGUGGGAAAGGAUGUGAGGAUCCCAAAACAACCAGGAUGUUGGCUUAGAAGCAGCCAUCAUUUAAAGAAAGCGUAACAGCUCACUGGUCUAAAUAAGGGUCUUUGCGCCGAAAAUGUAACGGGGCUAAAGCCAUACACCGAAGCUUAGGGUUUGGUCCGCAAGGGCCAAGCGGUAGCGGAGCGUUCUGUAAGCUGAUGAAGCCAUACCCGUGAGGGGUGGUGGAGGUAUCAGAAGUGCGAAUGCUGACAUGAGUAACGUAAGGGGAGUGAGAGACUCCCCCGCCGAAAGACCAAGGGUUCCUGCUUAAAGCUAAUCUGAGCAGGGUUAGCCGGCCCCUAAGACGAGGCGGAAACGCGUAGUCGAUGGGAACCACGUUAAUAUUCGUGGGCUUGGAGGUAGUGACGGAUCAUUGAGGUAGUCCAAUCUUAUCGGAUUGAACGGGCUGCUGCGUGGUUCCAGGAAAUAGCUCCUCCUUAUAAACCGUACCCGAAACCGACACUGGUGGUCUGGUAGAGUAUACCAAGGCGCUUGAGAGAACUAUGCUGAAGGAACUCGGCAAAUUGCACGCGUAACUUCGGAAGAAGCGUGACCCUUUUCUACGCAAGUAGAGGAGGGUGGCACAGACCAGGGGGUAGCGACUGUUUAUCAAAAACACAGGGCUCUGCGAAGUCGCAAGACGACGUAUAGGGUCUGACGCCUGCCCGGUGCUGGAAGGUUAAGAGGAGGGGUGCAAGCUCUGAAUCGAAGCCCCAGUAAACGGCGGCCGUAACUAUAACGGUCCUAAGGUAGCGAAAUUCCUUGUCGGGUAAGUUCCGACCUGCACGAAUGGCGUAACGACUUCCCCGCUGUCUCCAGCAUAGACUCAGUGAAAUUGAAUUCCCCGUGAAGAUGCGGGGUUCCUGCGGUUAGACGGAAAGACCCCGUGCACCUUUACUAUAGCUUUACAUUGGCAUUCGUAGUGGCAUGUGUAGGAUAGGUGGUAGGCUUUGAAACCUGGGCGCCAGCUCAGGUGGAGCCACCCUUGAAAUACCACCCUUAUUACUAUGGAUGUCUAACCGCGGCCCGUUAUCCGGGUCCGGGACAAUGUAUGGUGGGUAGUUUGACUGGGGCGGUCGCCUCCUAAAGAGUAACGGAGGCGCGCGAUGGUGGGCUCAGAACGGUCGGAAAUCGUUCGCUGAGUGCAAUGGCAUAAGCCUGCCUGACUGCGAGACUGACAAGUCGAGCAGAGACGAAAGUCGGUCAUAGUGAUCCGGUGGUCCCGCGUGGAAGGGCCAUCGCUCAACGGAUAAAAGGUACGCCGGGGAUAACAGGCUGAUGACCCCCAAGAGUCCAUAUCGACGGGGUUGUUUGGCACCUCGAUGUCGACUCAUCGCAUCCUGGGGCUGGAGCAGGUCCCAAGGGUAUGGCUGUUCGCCAUUUAAAGCGGUACGUGAGUUGGGUUCAGAACGUCGUGAGACAGUUCGGUCCCUAUCUGCCGUGGGUGUAGGAAUAUUGAAAGGAUCUGUCCCUAGUACGAGAGGACCGGGAUGGACGGAUCUCUGGUGGACCUGUUGUGGCGCCAGCCGCAUAGCAGGGUAGCUAUAUCCGGACGGGAUAACCGCUGAAGGCAUCUAAGCGGGAAACCCACCUUAAAACGAGUAUUCCCUGAGAACCGUGGAAGACGACCACGUUGAUAGGCCGGGUGUGGAAGAGCGGCAACGCUUGAAGCUUACCGGUACUAAUAGUUCGAUCGGCUUGAUCGUUCUCAUU